ACAUUCACUCUCACUGACUCCCAUUAUCCCACAUUCACUCCCACUGACUCCCGUUAUCCCACAUUCACUCCCACUGACUCCCAUUAGCCCACAUUCACUCCCAUUAUACCCCAUCAGUCCCAUUAUCCCACAUUCACUCCCACUGACUCCCAUUAUCCCACAUUCACUCCCACUGACUCCCAUUAUACCCCAUUCAUUACCAUUAAACCCAAAUAUCUCCCAUUAUCCCACAUUCAUUCUCAUUCUCUCCCUUUGAAUUCCAUAAACCCAAAUAUCUUCCAUUAUCCCCCAUCACUCGCACUGACUCCCAUUAUCCCACAUUCACUCCCACUGACUCCCAUUAUCCCACAUUCACUCCCACUGACUCCCAUUAUCC